rnacentral:lncRNA from 1 species
AAAUAAAGAGGUGACAAUAACACAGAUAAUAUAGUCUCAAUAUCUUAUAUUACCCACAUCAGGCGCUAACGAGUGGCCAGAAUAAUUAGUGCUACAUGACAGCAAAUAGAUUAAAUAGCUAGGUGGAUUCCUACAACUAAGCAGUACCAUUACCCUUACAAAGUCUUGGCCAACAAACAUUGUUCAAAGCAACAAAGGCAUGAGCCUGAACACCAACAUAUAGGAAUACCACUGUAGACAUAGGAGUUGGGACUUCUCCACGCAAUGCCAGGGAAAUUAGGAGAGUAGGUCCAUGUCAACCACUAAUUUUCGCAAAAGGUGUGGUCCCAUGCUAGGCACGUAAUGUAGCACUGAAUCUCAGUGACCAGCUGAGGGCAAUUCUGCAAAACAGGGAAUAUAAGGCAGACCAUUCAUGCCUUCAGUGCAGAUAACAUGCACUUUUUGAUUAUCCAUGUCAUACGACAAUGUCAAGUUUUUCUUGUCAGUAAGAAAAAUCAUGUUGCAAUCCGGAUGAAUUGCAAACAUCACAUAAGAAUCUCCAUCUUUACGGCAAUUCCUUCCAAACAGCUCCAAAACGUUAACAGUGUGCUUUAGGGUCCACUUUCCAGUAUCAUAAUCCUCAAGGACCCAAAUAUAGAGUUGGCAAUCACGGGAAUUUUCUAUCCACCAGGCAUACAAGCGUCCUUGAGACUGCCCAACAUCACAGAUGCGUCGUUGAGUGCCCAACAUCACAGGUGUUUGGCAUUUGAAUCUCCCUCCAAACUUUCCCCUCCACGUCGACUGUGGCUAUUCUCUUAUCAAGGGUAGGCAGAUGGAUAGUGCCACUCAGGAAGACCUGUGUGUAUACACCAUGAUUCACGAGAGGAUCUUUUGUCCACUUUGCACAUGAGUCCACCGUCCAGUUUCUGUCGAGUAGAUUGACACUUUUCCGGAAUCGUUCAUACCAGCCAUCUGGUUCUUGGGGGCAAACACCACAAAGCGGGAUGGAAUAGCAGGGUCGAAACCUAGGAAAGGGAUGGGAUCGGGACCUGGAAAUCCGACAGGAGGCAGCACAGUCCACUCUUCGGUAGCAGGAUUGCAGACAGCAUAAUAGGAUUCGUCUCGCAGAUUAUUCGAGCAGCUGCAGAGGAGAAGGCCGCCGCAGACGUGUUGGACAGAAAUGUGGCGGUACUUUUGGCGCAAGAAAGGGAGAGAGGGGUCGACAAGAGGAGGACCUCUCCCAUUCAAAUUGCGGAAAUGAAGGACACGGGCGUUCUUGUAGAAGAAGCCGGAGAGGGUCUGUGGCGACCUCUUGCGGAUGUCCGGGGCGGAGCAGAGGGCGAGCCAUGGCUUGGACACGCACUUGAAGCGGCAGAGGGACCUGUAGGGCACUCGUGAAAGGAUCUCAACGAUGGCGCCCUCGGGGAGGCUCGGCGCGGUCUGCUGCUCUUGCUCCAGCUUCUGCACCUGCUUCUUCUUCACAUCCUGUAAAUGAUGGAGACGACGGCUCGUUUAGGCUCCCGAUCCCCUUUCUUGGAUCGAUGACGAUUGACGGGGCCAGUCGACGAUCUUGUUCUGAAAGUGAAAGAACAUUGCAGAAGCGUGGAGCAAACCUCGGAAGCCGCCGGGACAAUGGCGGGCAGCGGCAGCCUAGAAUGGGGCAGAGCGUCGUCGUCGCCGCGUACGGUCGCCGGCGGGUGGCUCUGCACCGUGCAGCCAUGCUCGCCCCCUCCUUCUCCUCCUGGCGGCAUGGCCUCCUCUCCGGCUCGCGGAUCUGUGCCUCGAGCAGUCUACUCGACCGUGGCGGCGCCGGCUGCUGCUGCUCUCCGGCGCUAGGGUUCGUGAAAUCGUGAUGGGGCGGCAGCUGGUUUGGGAGCUCGCGUGACUGCGGCUGCGAGUACUAGAUGGGGAGUGGAGUGGCCCCCGCUGAUAAUGGGCUUUCCGAAUUUUUUUAUUAGCUGCUGUUCUAAAGGCGGCCCAAUUGAUCCUGAUGAUUUGUUGGCCCUCUCCACUGAAUAGUCGAACAAUUUUCUUGGUUGGUUUGUUAAUUUACGAGCCGAUGAUAAAAAAAAGAGCUUUGCAUCAGCAGAAUGUGCAUAGCGGUUUUGUAUGUGCUGGUACGAGAUAUUUUUUGAAUUACUACUUGUUGGCACCUGUUAGUCUUGAAAGUAAUUUUACAAUAUAUUACUACUAUCUUCGCCCGGAGUUACUGGAGGCUGAAAUUCUAAAUAUAUCCAUUUCAGCGUCAAGUAAUUCUGAAGGCUAACAAUGAUUCAUGCUCGAAUAAUCGGCAGCACUUAUUUCCCUGUAAAAAGUUAGGAAUCUCAAAUCCAUACUAUUACAUGCAACGUAACCCUAAUCUUACUUAAGCGAAGCUCAUCCGGCUCUGUCGUGCCCAUGUACGGCGGCUAGCUACGCUCCUCAUAGUGUUGGCUCGGUCACCGGCGAGGUAGAGUAGGACAUGAAACACGGCCCGGUUCACGGGACUCAAAGCACCACCGUCUCCCAUGCCCUACUCUUCCUUGUCGGAGCCCAGAACCCUGACGGUGCCGGUGCACGUGAAGAUGAUGGAUCCGUUCUGGGAGGAACCGGCAACAUCCACCACAACGUGGUUGCGGCGCCCGGGCUAGUGCACCAUACGGGGGACCGAAGAAUGUGACUCCGCCUCUCCAACGCCCACCACCGCGUGGCCUGCUGUCGUCUACCUUGCCCGCUGCCUCGCACUGCGGGAACGUCGCGUCAUGUUCUCGUCAGACGAUGACCAUCCGUUCACCUCCUUCUCGAUGCACCAAUAGAUGGGUUGCGCAUCCGCCACAACAUUCGGACGCCAGACGGACCACACCGCCUCCGGCGAGGCAGCGACGACACACCUUGCGGCGAAUCCAUGCGCCAUUUGGAUGGACGCAAUGGAUUCCCGACUCAAGGAGUCCAAGCGUUGCCAUCGGACGACCACCUCCCGAGAGCGGCGGAGCGCAAACCGGAUGAUCAUCUCGUCCUUGGGGCUGCGUGGAAUGAGCUCGGGGUCGACAAAUCUGGAGUUGUAGCACUCGAGUCCGCUGCCCGCCAUGCCGGAGAAGGCGGGAGAUCGCCGGAUGGGAGCUUGAGUGACGGAGGAGAGUGGAGGAGAGUGGAGUGAUGUGGCUAGGGUUUGGUCUGGGAGUGGAUGGGGACAAAUAUAUGCGGGGUUGGGUGGACCAGCGGGGUCCGAGUCCGACGUGGCGGACGCGCCCGGUCAGGCCCAGGCCUCCCCAUAUCCGCCGCAUAUUUGGGCUGGAUAUGAGAGGGGUCGGUCAGCCCAGGCGUUUGAGGGGGGUUUGAGGCGUCCGGCUGGGUCGGUUUUUUUGACCGAUCAGUGACCAGGCUGUUCACCCUAAAACCCUAAACCCUAAACCCUAUCUUGGAAAUCUUUUGUGAUUGUGAGCCCCCAUUAAAAUAUUAUAUGCUAAAAUUGUUGACGUUGGACAAGGAAGACAACAUAAUGAUUUAUGUUUGUGCAUAUUCACAUAGAAGUUAUAUUAUCAUAGAUCCUUCGACAUGUUGUGCUUGCCCCCAUCUUUGCUAGCCAAAAAUUCCGCACCAAGUAGAGUUUGAGGUGUUUGGCUGUAGACGCUCUUAGCCUUUUUUGUUUCUAGGAUGAAAGAAAUAUAGAAAUGGAUAAGUCAAAGAAAAUGAGAUGACAUCUUAUGAAUAGAAAUAGGAAAAGAGAGGUUCUUUGGGUUUUCUUUUUGUGAGGGGAGGUUCUUUGGUUCACUUGCAGAUAUAAGCCUCGAAAGCCCACUAUUAAUAAAUGUUCUCCGCUGUCUUUUUCCCACUUGGAAAUCAGAUCGAAUUCAAUUGACGCAGCUGAUGCAGCCCGAAACCCUCAAAAAAUAAAAGCUGAUGCAGCCCGAAACCAUCUAUCAGCUGCGACAUAAAAAAACUCGAUCAAGUUCAGAGUGCGUUCUAAGUCUGCUUGAGUUCACACUUCAUCCACUCCCUUUACAAGCUUUACUGUUCGUUUAGUCGCCGCAGAAAACAUAUCACACAUCUUGCAGACGUACAUGGCGUCGUGCUGCGCAGUAGUUAUCUGAAUUUCUCUGGAUAUUUGGAGUGCAUCCUCGCCAGCGAAAUAUGAUGACCAAUUUGUGUACCGAGGCUUUUCAGAAUUCAGAGACAGCCGGUGAGUACAGUGUCACGUCGAACGCAACAUCUCAUGGAGUUUCAAAUUCCACAACAAGCUCACAUGGCGCAUCAUUACACGGCAGACGGCAGCGCUGGCACCGUCGUGUUAAACUAUCGCGUUCAGGAUCAAUAUGAAGCAUUGCGGCGACAAAGAUUUUGCCCAAAAUAAGAUUUGAACUUGUGUGUGAGACCAACCUGCAGAUCUCAGCAUGACCCGCUGAGAAAUAAGGCUAUCCAACAACUGUUGGAUGUAUCACAUAAACACUAGGCCUAAGAUUUGAAGUGAAGGAAUCCCAUCUCUAAUGCCAGAAUAGUUACGCCUGGCAAGUUGUACUUUCAGUAUUUCCUACAUUCAGCAAAAACUAAACCUUCAACCAACAAAGCAGUGACAGGAAAACCACCAUUAUCCUUUUGGUUAUACUCCCUCCGUUCGGAAUUACUUGUCUCAGAAAUGGAUGUAUUCAGAACUAAAAUACGUCUAGAACAUCCAUUUUUAUGACAAGUAAUUCCGAACGGAGGGAGUAUAUAAUAAAAGUUGUCGUCCUCAAUUUCUAGUAAAGAGCAGGACCGAAAAUAAAGUUGGGCAACCUAGAACAGAAAUUUAACAGCCUAGAUAGGAUUCAUGCAAGGGAAUGGCGAGCUAUAUCGAAAUCAGAAUUAAGAACACACUGGAGCCUGGAGGAGCACAAGUACUUUAGUGAUGAAUGGUGAACUUGAAUGUAUAUUAUCACCCCCAGUCUUACUACAAACAUAUAUCAAUGAAUGAAUCACGCUGUUCGCUUCCCCUCAAAAGUUCAUCUGUCCCCUGAGCAAAAAAGAAGAUGAAUGGACUAUGUCUUCCAGGUUUGUUUAGCUGCACAUUUCUUGACACCAUCAAUGGAAGGCCAUGCGGGUAAUAUGAAAGAAACUAAUAUUUCUUUAUCCUACCUCUUCCUGUAUAUGUUGUGAUAUAAAAGAGACGAUCCACAAAUAAUCAUACCAAAUCUUACAAAUGCAUAAAAACAGAGGUGGCAUCGAUGGAUAACAAGCUGCUAUACAUUGAGAGGAGAUGAUCCGAAAAGGCCAAAGCGGCAGAGAUGGAGUGCGACGUCUCCGGUGUGAUUUCGUCUCUGACCUCUGGCACGCGAGUUUGCUGGAAUUCCGCCCCGGCAAGCUUAUCCGGCGAGGAGAGAGGAUCGUUCUCCUCGACGGGGAGGGCUACAAGGUGGACUCGCGUCGGACGCGGGAGUGUUGACGUAUAAAUGUAUUGACUAGUUUCUUUCAGUAGAUCGAUAUUUUGGUUGCAUUGGCUAGAGCAUGCACUUCUACAUGGCAUCGAAGCCAAGAGGUUUUAAGUCUUGACGGCCGACACAAUUAAAUUACAGGCCACUUUCGAUCCACGUUUAGUCCUGAGGGAGCCACACGUGAGGGGAGUGUUGACGUAUAAAUGUAUUAUCUAGUCUUUUCAUUAGAUCGGUCUUUUGGUUGCAUUUUGCUAGAAGAUGCACUUCCACAAGGACAAGGAGAGCGGCGCGUUUGGGGCGGGCGCGUUGAUCCAGUUUCCGUGCCAUUUGGCAUGAUUUGGUACACCGAGCGGCGGUGUACGGGCGGCACACGACGAGCGCGGGGCGCAGGCCGAGGUGAGUAAUGGCGGGCGACACGAGUCGACUCCCCUUAUCCGUCCAAGUGUGACGCCCCUGCCUCCUGUGCUCCCCACUACACAUCGGGUGAAACUAGAUCUGAGCGAGAGAGACAACAGAGCGACGAAGCCACCUUCCACGAUGAGGGCGAUGUCAAGGUGGGAGGCGAAGAUGGUGGGCGGCGAUGAGGAUAUGCUGGCGAGGUUGCGCGAGAUCGACUCUUGGCCGCCGUUGGCCCAGGCGCUGAACGACGAGACAGAGGCCAUCCGAGCCAUCCAGACCGUCGAGGAGAUGGAGCGCUGCUUCCCCAAGUCAAGGUCGCAGCCAGCGAUGAAGGUCGUCCUCUAGGCCAUGCUCGAGGCAGAAUCGGAGGACCCGAUGGCGCAAUUCAAGUGGGCGGCGUUUUGUUCCCACAUCUUCAACCUACUGCCACCGCCAGAGGUGAAGGUUGUGAUGGGGUUGCCGACACCUGGGACGUAGGCGAUUCCGAUAGAGAUCAUCAACGACGACCUUCCGAGGGCGCACAAGGUGAAGACGCUUCCCAUGCCAUUCGGCCCACCUCCGGGCCCUCUCUUACACUCAGUAGGGUGCUCUCCGGCUGGUAGCCACUUUUGACUGCUGGCCGGAGAGGACUUCGACGGGUCGGAGAGGGAUGACUCAUCGGCUAACUCAGGUACAAACCCGAUUCCUUACUAAUACUUAAGUGAUUCGGUGCUGUCUGAUUCUAGUAAGAGAGAUUCUACUAUUAUAAGGGGAAAAUUAAGAGAGAAAAUGAAGAGAUGUAGACAAAUUAACACAUGGUCGCAUGAUUUUGAGGCUAGAUGUGACGGGGAAAAUCCAAACUUCUUGAGUUAUCUGAUUAAUAAACAGAAGCUGAGAUUGUUGAUUGGUAAGGAGGAUAUCAAAAGGGGGGUAGAUAUUAAAAUUCAUAUGCAGNNNNNNNNNNNNNNNNNNNNNNNNNNNNNNNNNNNNNNNNNNNNNNNNNNNNNNNNNNNNNNNNNNNNNNNNNNNNNNNNNNNNNNNNNNNNNNNNNNNNNNNNNNNNNNNNNNNNNNNNNNNNNNNNNNNNNNNNNNNNNNNNNNNNNNNNNNNNNNNNNNNNNNNNNNNNNNNNNNNNNNNNNNNNNNNNNNNNNNNNNNNNNNNNNNNNNNNNNNNNNNNNNNNNNNNNNNNNNNNNNNNNNNNNNNNNNNNNNNNNNNNNNNNNNNNNNNNNNNNNNNNNNNNNNNNNNNNNNNNNNNNNNNNNNNNNNNNNNNNNNNNNNNNNNNNNNNNNNNNNNNNNNNNNNNNNNNNNNNNNNNNNNNNNNNAGAGGCUGACGAAAAUGGAUUUGGGGGAUCAGUGGGUAGGUUUUUAGAUCAUAUUGAGGAGGAAGUGGAACUGGGAUUUAGAUGCUAUGGGCCUCCAACUUUGGAAGCUGGCCUAGUAGCGACCCAGAAUUUAUCCACUCCUGCUAUAUAUAUGCUAGAGAGUGCGAGCUUUCAGAAACAGACAACUUCUCUAGGUUUACCCUGACAACCGCCGCCUGACUCUGCCAGGUCGGGGAACUAUGGCAACUUUCGAGGUGGAGGAAGAUUCAGUAGGGGUGGUGGAAGAGGAAAUUUCCAGUACCAACCUAAGAAUUUUGUUAACAAAGAUGAUGAGGGUUUCAUAAGAAAUCCAAUCCCCCACCCACAGAAUAAUAAUUCAGAUAGGGGUAGAGGACAAAUCGACGCAACUGUGGGUGAUGAUGGAAAUCUGAUGCCAAGGUCUCAAAAGGUGGAAAUCAGUCCUGGAGAGGUAUGGUGGGUGAAAUUGAGAUAGUUGGUUCUUCUGGUGAUAACAAGCAAGAAACUGAGAAGAAGGGGGAUUAGAUCUGGGUCCAGUAGUAGCAUGGUUCUUAAUUUGGACGCAUCCCAAUAGCAGCAACUCUUGGGCGCGCUGCUUUAACAAAUACCCAAGACCAUGGCUAUUGGAGAACUGGAUAUAAGUGACAGAAAUGGUGUAGGCAACAAGGGGAAGGAUCAUGUAGGUGUUGGAAAUGGUGGUGGGGAAAAUCAAAGCAACAAAGGAUCAUCAUCUGGCAGUGGAAACGUGGGAGAAUCUAGAGACUUCAGACAUGAUCACGGGCUUGGUAACUCUCUAUAAGGGAAUGAGAUGGAUAAGAAGCAAGGGGGCAGAUUUCGAAAGCAGGUUUGUGGGAAAUGUAAAGAUCCCAGGCACUCUACCAAGGAAUGCAAAGUGGGGCAUUGUUUGAUUUGUGGCAAGGAUAAUCACAUCACAGAGGAGUGUAACUGGUUGCAACAGAUGAAGCCCUUGCCAAAAUACAUUGGAUAUGCUGCCAAGGGUUUACGAGUGUUGUUGGUCCAAAGUGCUAACGAUAUUUUGGUUGCUGGUCAUAUUCAUCCACUGGCUAUUGUAUCUUUGGAAUCAAUGUACUUGAAUGAGACUGAUUUUGUACAAGAAUUUGGGGAGAUGUUUAACUGGAGCUGGCAAUUGAGAGCUAAAAGCUACGACCAAAUAUGUUAUCUAAUGAGGUUUCCAAACAAAGCAAGGCUGGUGGAGUUGGUUAAAUUCAAAACUUUCAACCUGUUAGGAACUGGGGUAAUGAGCAUAGUUCAAGGGUGGACACUGGAUCAUUAGGCCAUUGGCAAAUUGCACACUGCUUGGGUAAAAUUUGAUAGUGUGGCUGAUUGUUUUAGGCACUUUUUUGGGAUGUGUGAAGUAGCAGGGGCUGUUGGGCCAGUGUUGAAAAUUGAUAUGGAUACCAUCACACAGGAAAAAAUUAAAGCAAAAAAUUGGAGCAAGAGAUGUGGAGAAAAUCCCACCUUCCUUUGAAAUCACUUCAAAUGACCUGUUGAUUUUCAGACUGACUUCUGAAUUGGACAAUGUGGUGGAAAUGGGUUGGUAUAAAGAGUUUAAAAGAAGUGAAUCUCCUGAAGAUGAUUUGAUGGACAUGUAUGAAAAAGAAGAUACUAGAAAAAAAGAAAGGUAGGGGAAAACACUAGAGUGCAUUUGACAUUGGGGAGCUUGUCUCUGGCCCAGCUUGAAGAGGUUAACAAGAAAAUGAUGCAAUGAAAACCUCCAUUGAAAAUUCUUUUGGCCCCAUUCUUCAUAACCUAGCAGAACAAUACAAAUCGGCUCAAAAAGGAUAUAGAUGUAGUACUGAGAAGAGUUCAAUCUUUGGAAGAGGAAAAGACAAGGCGAGCUGCUUUGUGAACAAUUGAGGAGAAGAAAAUGAUUGAUUUAGAAAAAUAUAAGAAGAUGCUGGAAGCUGACUUUGCUCAACAACAAGAAAUGACACAACAACUGAUACGAGAGGCUGUGAAAAUAGAGCAAAUGGAAUUGGAGCAUGCUAAUAUGGAUGAUGAGGAAAUUGAGGGGUAUGGGCAAGAUAAGAAAAAAGCAACUGAAUUUGAUAAAUAUGGGGAGAACACUGAUUAUAAUGCUUGCCAAGAAUCUGUGGAAAACUUUGGACAGAAGAUGGCCGACAAACAUGGACCUGAAACUAGAGAUUUGGAGAUUGGCAAAGAAGAGGAAUUGAGAACAAGCUUCAGUAUGAAGGUGGAGGACUCGGCCAAGAACAGAGCUGAAGCAAGGGAUAAUUAUGGUAAUGAACCUGACUCCCCUCCUUCUAUAUCUUCUUUAAUGCAUAUGACAUCUUUCGUACGAAAUGGUUUAGGAUGCACUAUUGAUAUGGUAGACAAAAACAUUGGGAUUAUCCAAAAAUGGAGGCUGCUAGAAAAGAGUUUUAUUGGCAAAAUAUUACUAACCAGAGAGAAAAAGGAAAAGGUGAGGCCAGCACUCCAAUUCAGAUUGAUAUUGGAGAUGCUAAUAUGGCUGAACUAUGUUCUGAUAAAGAACAUUCAGACGCCGAGGUAGAAGAGAAUUAUCAUGAUCAAUUGGAAAAAAAAUUGCUAGGGAAGUUUUUUCAAGAGGGAUCACCAGCAAUUAGCUGUGUGAAACACUCUGUUGCUAUCAACUUCCUUGAAAAAAGGAGGAAGAAGACAUAAAAUUAGAGAGGUUAAAUAUAAUUUGCCUCUUAUUUUUUGUGAAACUGUGUGUCUGUGGAUAUAUAGAUUUGGAUAAUAAUAAACCAUUUAUAUUGGAAAAAAUGGAAGGUUUUUUUUUGGAAUGUUAGAGGAUUGGGGCAGGAUCAUAAAAAAGGAUAUGUUAAGGAUAUGAUUGCAGAACAUAAACUUGACUUUGUGGGGUUGAUGGAAACUAUAAAGACUAGGUAUUCCAAAACUGAACUCACUUUUUGUGUGUGUGUGGGGGGGGGUGACGCCCCCGAUUUGACCGUACACUAAUCAUGCACGCAAAUGUGUACAAUCAAGAUCAGGGACUCACGGGAAGAUAUCACAACACAACUCUAAAACAUAAAUAAGUCAUACAAGCAUCAUAAUACAAGCCAGGGGCCUCAAGGGCUCGAAUACAAUUGCUCGAUCAUAGACGAGUCAGCGGAAGCAACAAUAUCUAAGUACAGACAUAAGUUAAACAAGUUUGCCUUAAGAAGGCUAGCACAAAAGUAGCAACGAUCGAAAAGGCAAGGCCUCCUGCCUGGGACCUCCUAACUACUCCUCGAAGCCGAACUCCAUGUAGAAUCAUCCUCGGGAUCUCUAGCUCCUGGACUCCAGCAUCUGGUUGCGACAAUCAGGUAUAGAAAGGGGGAAAGAGGGAGAAAGCAACCGUGAGUACUCAUCCAAAGUACUCGCAAGCAAGGAGCUACACUACAUAUGCAUGGGUAUAUGUGUAAAAGGUCAUAUCGGUGGACUGAACUGCAGAAUGCCAGAAUAAGAGGGGGAGAGCUAAUCCUGUCGAAGACUAUGCUUUUGGCAGCCUCCAUCUUGCAGCAUGUAGAAGAGAGUAGAUUGAAGUCCUCCAAGUAGCAUCGUAUAGCAUAAUCCUACCCGACGAUCCCCUCCUCGUCGCCCUGUUAGAGAGCGAUCACCGGGUUGUAUCUGGCACUUGGAAGGGUGUGUUUUAUUAAGUAUCCAGUUCUAGUUGUCAUAAGGUCAAGGUACAACUCCGGGUCGUCCUUUUAUCGAGGGACACGACUAUUUGAAUAGAUAAACUUCCCUGCAGGGGUGCACCACAUAACCCAACACGCUCGAUCACAUUUGGCCGGACACACUUUUCUGGGUCAUGCCCGGCCUCGGAAGAUCAACACGUCGCAGCCCCACCUAAGCACAACAGAGAGGUCAGCACGCCGGUCUAAAUCCUAUGCGCGCAGGGAUCUGGGCCCAUCGCCCAUUGCACACCUGCACGUUGCGUACGCGGCCGGAAGCAGACCUAGCCUAGUGGCGUUCCAGUCCAUGGAUGCCGUCCAGGGCCAGGCCCACCUCUCACCUAGGUCGGGAUACCACGACGCCGGGAUACCCAUAACUACUCCCGCGUACAUGGUUAGUGCGUAUAGACCAAAUGCCCAGACUCAGAUCAAAUACGAAGAACUCGUUAAGCGUGUUAUGUCGAAGUAACCGCGGAUGCCGUCCAGGGCCAGGCCCACCUCUCACCUAGGCGGUCUCAACCUGCCCUGUCGCUCCGCCACAGAGAUCCACUUGUGGGUACUCCUACGAGCCGACCCGACUUUAUUUACCACAUGUGUCAUGUAUAGAGUAUAUAAGUAUAUACCCGUGAUCACCGCCCAAGUGAUCACGACCCGAUAGUAUAGCACAGCAGACGGACAGGAAUGUGGGGCCACUGAUGGAUAACUAGCAUCCUAUACUAAGCAUGUAGGAUUGCAGGUAAAGGUAACAACAGUAGUAGCAAGGAUAGGCUAUGCAUCAGGAUAGGAUUAACAAAAAGCAGUAACAGGCUAUACUACUCUAAUGCAAGCAGUAUAGAGAAGAAUAGGCGAUAUCUGGUGAUCAAGGGGGGGGGGCUUGCCUGGUUGCUCUGGCAAGUAGGAGGGGUCGUCAACUCCGUAGUCGAACUGGUCAGCAGCAGCGNNNNNNNNNNNNNNNNNNNNNNNNNNNNNNNNNNNNNNNNNNNNNNNNNNNNNNNNNNNNNNNNNNNNNNNNNNNNNNNNNNNNNNNNNNNNNNNNNNNNNNNNNNNNNNNNNNNNNNNNNNNNNNNNNNNNNNNNNNNNNNNNNNNNNNNNNNNNNNNNNNNNNNNNNNNNNNNNNNNNNNNNNNNNNNNNNNNNNNNNNNNNNNNNNNNNNNNNNNNNNNNNNNNNNNNNNNNNNNNNNNNNNNNNNNNNNNNNNNNNNNNNNNNNNNNNNNNNNNNNNNNNNNNNNNNNNNNNNNNNNNNNAGCAGCAGCGUCGGUCUCGUAGUCUACUGGAGAGAAGAGGGGGGGGGGGGAGAAACGGUAAAUACAAUGCAAACAUAAGCAUGACGAUGCGUGACAUGAAAAUGAGCAGUGCUAGGUGUGCCCUAACGCGGCAGUAGGUGGUACUGGCGAAGGGGGGAAAUAUCCGGGAAAGUAUUCCCGAUGUUUCGCGUUUUCGGAUAGACAGACCGGAGGGGGAAAGUUCCAUGUUCGCUAUGCUAGGAACGUGUGGCUGACAAACGGACUGCGUAUUCGGAUUCGUCUCGUCGUUCUGAGCAACUUUCAUGUACAAAGUUUUUCCAUCCGAGCUACGGUUUAUUUUAUAUUAAAUUUUAAAGAUUUAAAUCAUUUUUAGAAUUUAAUAAAUUAAUUUAAUUCAAAAUUUAAUUAAUGCAUCAGCAUGACGUCAGCAUGACGUCAGCAACGUUGACCGUUGACCUGGUCAACCUGACAGGUGGGUCCCAUCUGUCAGGGGCUGUUAGCUAAUUAACUACUGUUUAAUUAAAUUAACUAAUUAAUUAGAUUAAUUUAAACAGGAUUAAUUAACUUAAUUAAUUUAGUUAAUUAAUUAAUUAGAUUAAUGCAAUUUAUUUUUAUUAUUUGUUUUAUUUAUAUAUUUUUUAAAUUCUUUUUUUUAACGUUCUCUGGGCGUGGGGCCCAUCUGUCAUAGGCCCCAGGGGCCUUAGCGGUUGUGGGCAACGGGCGCAAUACGCAACCCAAACGGGCGCACGCCCAGGUGUAGGCGGACAGGGGAGGCCGGUGGUCACGGCGGGGCCAUGGCCGGAGCGGGGCGAGGCCGCGGUGGUGCGCGGGCGGCCGCCGGAGGCCGUGCGGGCGGAAGCCGGAGCGGGGUAGGGGAGGCCAGGGUCGCUGGUACGAGGCCAGAGAGCGGCUCGGGGUGGCGGGAACUGCAGCGGGAGGCGGCAGAGCUGGACGACAGGUGUGGGGCCGCGAGCGACCAACGGCAAAGCCGCCGGUGAGGCGUUGCCUCGACGCGAGGCGCGCGGCCAGGUGCUCACGGGGGCGCAAGCGGGGUAGCGCGGGGGAGAAAGAGAGGAGGGAGUGGAGGCCGUGGCCUCACCGGGGGUGUAGGGUCAAGGCAGUGGGGCUCGGGAAGGAGGUCGAGGACGUCGCGGCGGAGGGGAAGAAGGCCGGCGAGGUGGAGGAAGCAGGCCGGUGAUGGAGCUCCGGCGACUGGCGGCGGCGUCGACGUGCAGGAGGUGGUGAGGCGUCGGCGUUAGUAGGCGUCGGGUCGACGAGGGAGGAGCUGCGAGGAGGCCGGGAGGGGCGGCGAUUGGCGCGGAGAUAGUCCGGCGAGGGGGGUCCGAGAGGCGACGGGGUUCGGCGUCGAUCGACGCAGGGGCGCCCGAUCUGGAUCGUGGCGAGAGAGGAGCGGGCGUGAGGGGAGAGUGGGGUGACUCGGGGGUUAGGGUUUGGGUUAUGAGGCCAUAUAGGCCAGGGGAGGUUAGGUGGGCCAGUUGGGCUGGCCAGCUGGGCCGGAGCCCAGUGAAGGGGGUUCCCUUUCCCUUUUUUUGUUUGUUUUGUUUUCUUUUACUUUUUCUUAUUUUUCUUUUCUGUUUUCUUUUAGUUCCUCUUUCAUUUUAGUUUUAUAAAUUAUAGUGUAAAAUCCUAAGUUAGCGAUACUAAUUAUGCUACUGCCCCAUUAUUUUUGGGCAACUAAAUGGAUAGCUUAAUAUUUUAUAAAAUACAAAAGACAUUUAUUUGAUUGUUUUAACUACUGUUUUAAUUAUCUUAGAGCCUUUAAACAUUUUAUAAAAGUGUCGGUUCUCCACCAUAAUUACCUAAUCAUUAUUUGGCUCCACCCGAACUUUUAGUUUUUAUAUUUAAAAACUUUUAUUGUUUGCCUUUAUUUUAAAUUUGAACUGGGUUUCGAACUGACGCGAGUUUAUCAACAGUAACCGAUGUGACGUGGAAUCAUUAGCGGAGGUUCACUGUAGCUUAAUUAUCCGGGCGUCAGGGGGGGGGGGGAUUUUGAAUGCACUUGAAAUCCACCUAGUGGGAAAUAUGGAGGUAUUCUGGCGGGUUGGAAUAAAGAUAUUUUUGACACUAUUCAUCUUGAACAUGGUGAAUAUUUUGUCAGGGUACAUGUUUUUGAUAGACAUGCAAGUUUGAAUGGAAUUUAAUCACUAUCAAUGGUGAUGCUCAAAUUGAAAGAAAAGCUAGUUUUUUAGCUGAGCUGGCUAGAGUCUAUCAUGAUAUUGCCUUGUUUGGUGGGGGUGAUUUUAAUAUCAUUAGAAAGAGUGAUGAGAAAAACAAACCUAAUAAUCCAGAUCAUUGGAGUUUUGUGUUUAAUGUUAUUAUAGAACAUGUUGGGCUUAGGGAGAUGUCUCUAAAUGGGAGACAAUACACUUGGGCUAAUAAUCUUCCUCAUCCAACUUAUGAGAAAUUGGAUAGGGUUCUAUGUUGUCCAGAUUAGGAGGAAAAAUAACCCUUAUCCAUACUCCAGGCAUUUUCUAGGGAGGCCUUUGAUCAUACUCCACUUUAUAUUUUGACACAAGAGCCCACUCAAAUAUUGAACCAAUUUUCAUAUCUAAAAUUCUUGAGUGCUUAGAGAGGGAUUUAAGGAUUUUGUGGUUAAAGUUUGGAAUGAGGAGUAUAAAGUAGAUAAUCUGGAUAGAUGGCAACAAAGAUUUAGAAACUUGAGGAAAAAAACUAAAGGUUGGAAUGAAAAUGUGGAUGCUUGGUAUAGAAAGAUGAAGAAGAAAUUAUUGAUAGACUUGAUGAUUUGGAAUAAAAUGUUGAAGAUAUGGGAUUAACAGCUGCAAAUAGAGAUGAACAAAAAGAGCUAAGUGCUCAAGUAUCUAGGCUUAUGUAGUAAGAAGAACUUAAAUGGCUUCAAAAAUAUAAAGAUAAAGAGAUUAAAGAUGGAUAUGGAAACACUAGAUACUACCAUACCAAAGUGAAUGGGAGAAGACGAAUAAAAUAAAAUAAUAUCUUUAGAACAAGAAGAGGGGGUGAUAGAGGGAGAGAUUGAAUUAAUGGAAUAUCUUACUAACUUAUAUAAGAAACUAUUUGGACAACUAGAUGAGUGGAACAUUAUGCUGGGAGACCUAGAUAAGCCAAAAAAUUCUGCUAUAGAAGCUGUGGAGUUGACUUCACCUUUCUCUAUGAAAGAGAUUCAUGAGGUGGUUUUUGGUAUGGAGAAAAACAAGAGCCUUGGUCCUAAUGGAUUUCCUGCUGAUUUAUAUCUGGAAUUUUGGGAUUUGAUAAAAUGGGAUCUCAAGGACAUGGUUGACGAUUUCGCUUCUGGCGAACUUGACAUCACUAGGCUUAAUUAUGGGAUCAGUACCCUAGUCCCAAAAACCUCAGAUGCUAAACAACUUCAGAAAUUUAGACCCAUAUGCCUCUUGAAUGUCAGUUCUAAGAUUGAGUAAAGUGGUCUCUCAUGUUAUUUCUCCUACUCAAACUGCUUUUGUCAAAGGGAGAUUCAUUAUGAAAGGGGUUGUGGUACUUCAUGGAGCUCUAAAUACAAUACAUUACAAAAAACAAAAUGCUCUGAUCAUCAAAGUGGACUUUUGUUAUCAAAAUGUUGAAAAUGAAAGGAUUUUCUGAUAAGUGGUGUGACUGGAUUAUGCUAACUAUGAGAUGGGGACAUGUAGGAGUUAGGGUUGAUGAUCAAAUAGGGCCUUAUUUCAAAACCUUUAAAGGCCUUAGACAUUGCUGUUUGACCUUGCUGAUUAUGCUUUAGCUCUGAUCGUGGAUAAAGCAAAGAAUGGAUUGUUAAGGGGGUGCUUGGUACUCAGCGUAACAUGGGGAUAAACAUGCUACAAUAUGCUGAUGACACUAUUUUCUUACUUCAGGAUGAUCUUGAUGAUGCAAAAAAAAAUUGAAGUUCAUUAUUUGUGCUUUUGAGCAAAUGUCUGGGCUUACUAUUAAUUUUCAUAAAAGUGAACGGUUCCUUUUUGGAGAGGAAAAUAAUAAAAGACAGAAAUAUCAGGAAAUUUUCACUUGUGGCAUGGGAUCUCUCCCUAUGAAGUAUCUAGGGAUGCCAGUGUCACACACUAGAAUUAGAAACAGACACUGGUCUGGAUAGUUGAACAAAUUGAGAAAAGAUGUGAGUGAUGGCAAGGUAGACUCCUAGGAUCUAUUGCUGGGAGAAUAACCUUGGUGCAGGCCUGCUUGUCCAAUAUACCUCUUUAUUAUGAUGUCGUUUUACCCCAUUCCUGCUGGGGUACUUAAGAAAGUAGACUCGUAUAGAGCUAGAUUGGUUUUGCAAGAAGACGAAGAUAAGAAGAAAUACCAUUUGGUAAACUGGAAGACCUGUUGCAAACCCAAAGACUUGGGAGGUUUGGGUAUUUUAAAUUUAAACAUUAUGAAUAAAGAUUUACUUGCCAAAUGGUUUUGGAAUUUGGAAAUGGAGGAAGGACUUUGGCAGCCAGUCCUCUGGGACAAAUAUGUAACUGAUGGAUGCUUAUCCAGGACACAACAUAAAAAUGGAGAUUCACAAUUUUGGACUAAUAUUAUUAAGUUCAAAGAGAUAUUUGACAGAUUUUGUAGGAAAAAUUUGGGGGAUGGCAAAAACACAAGGUUCUGGGAAAGACAUAUGGGUAGAUGAUAAACCUCUGAAAGAGGCAUAUCCAAGGUUAUAUAUGCUUAGUUUUGAACACAAUAUCAAUGUGUCUGAAGCCUUGGAGAAAGAGUGGAAAUGAUUUAAAUUUAGAAGAACACUAUAUGAGGAAACCAUGGAAUUGCGGAAAAGUCUGGGAAGAUGUGAGGAGGUUAAUAUGGGAAGAGGUAAAGAUCAGGUGGUGUGGAUGCUGACUCCGGAUAAACAAUUUAUUGUCAAGUCCUUAUAUAGACUAGAGAUAUUUUUAGAAGACCUUUUUAUGCUAAAAAAACAGAUGAUCCACACAUAAUCAUAUCAAAUCUUCAAAAUGCAUUAAAACGGAGCAUCGAUCGAUAACAAACUAUAGACCGGAGAUAUUUACUUGCAUAAAACAAAUGGAAAUGAAGAGGUGAAAAUAACGCAGAUAAUGUACUCUCAAUGACUUAUAUUAGCCACAUCAGGCCCAAACGACUGGCCACAAUAACUAGUGCUACAUGACAGCAAAUGGAUGAAAUGGCUAGGUGGAUUGUUACAACUAACUAGUACACUCACCCUUACAAAGUUUGGCUAACAACAUUGUUCAAAGCAACAACGGCAUGCACCGAACUCAAGACUGUAGACAUAGGAGUUGGGACUUCUCCACGCAAUGCCAGGAAAUUAGGAGAGUAGGCCCAUGUCAACCGCUAAUUUCCGCAAAAGGUGUUGUUCCAUGCUGAGCACGUGAUGUAGCACUGGAUCUCAGUGACCAGCUGAGGGCAAUUCCACAAAACAGGGAGUAUAAGGCAAACCAUUCAUGCCUUCGGUGCAGAUAACAUGCACUUUUUGAUUAUCCAUGUCAUACGACAAUGUCAUGUUCUUCUUGUCGGUAAGAAAAAUCAUGUUGCAAUCCGGAUGAAUUGCAAACAUCGCAUAAGAAUCUCCAUGUUUACGGCAAUUCCUUCCAAACAACUCUAAAACCUUAAAGGUGUGCUUUAGGGUCCACUUUCCAGUAUCAUAAUCCUCAAGGACCCAAAUACAGAGUUGGCAAUCAUAAAAAUUAUCUGUCUUCCACGCAUACAAGCGUCCUUGAGACUGCCCAACAUCACAGAUGUUUGGCAAGUCAUUUGGCAUUUGAAUCUCCCUCCAAACUUCCCCCUCCACGUCGAUUGUGGCCAUUAUGUUAUCAAUGGAAGGCAGAUGGAUAGUGCCAUUAAGGAAGACAUGUGUGUCUCUACCAUGAUCCACGAGAGGCUCUCUUGUCCACUUACUUUGCACAUGAGUCCACCGUCCAGUUUCUGACGAGUAGAUUGCCACUUGUCCGGAACGGUCCACACCAAACAUAUUGGGCUGGGGCGCAAACACCACAAAGCGGGAUGGAACAGCAGGGUCAAAACCUAAGAAAGCGAUUGGAUCAGGACCUGGAAAUCCGACAGGAGGCAGCACAGUCCACUCCUCGGUCGCAGGAUUGCAGACAACAUAAUAGGCUUCGCCUAGCAGAUUAUUCGAGCAGCAGCAGAGGAGAAGGCCGCCGCAGGCGUGUUUGACAAAAAUGUGGCAGUACCUUUCGCGCAAGAAAGAGAGAGAUGGGUCGACAAGAGGCGGACCUCUCCCAUUCAAAUUUCGGAAAUUGAGGCCAUCGUCGUGAUAGUAAAAGAAGCCCGAAAGAGUCUGUGGCGACCUCUUGCGGAUGUCCGGGGCGGAGCAGAGGGCGAGCCACGGCUUGGACACGCACUUGAAGCGGCAGAGCGACCUGUAGGGCACUCGCGAAAGGAUCUCGACGAGGGCGCCCUCGGGGAGGCUUGGCGCAGGCUGCUGCUCCUGCUCCCGCUCCAGCUUCUGCUUCUUCUCCUGUGUAAAUGAUAAUGGCUGGCUCAGGUUCCGGAUUCCUUUUGUUGGAUCCAAGAUUGGAAGGCCCUGUUAAACAAAAGGAAGACUGGAGCAGCGUGAGCGGACCUUGGAAGCUACUGGGGCAAUGUCGGGGAGCAGCGGCGUAGAAUGAGACGGAGCGUCGUCGUCGCGGCGGACGGUCGCCGUCGGCUGACCCUGCAGCGUACAGCCAUGCUCGCCUCCUCCACCUCCUCCUCCUCCUGGCGGCAUCGCCUCCUCUUCGGCUCGCGGAUCAGUGCCUUGAGGCUGUCGAAUCGACCGUGGCGGCGCUGGCUGCCGCUGCUCGCCGGGGCUAGGGUUCGUGAAUCGUGAGGGGGGAUGGGGCGGCAGCUGGUUUGGGAGCUCGCGUGACUGCGAGUGGGAGUGGUUGAUUUGUUACUCUGCUGACAAUAGACGGCCCAAUGGACCCAGAUAAUUUGUUGGCCCACUCCGCUGAAUAAUAAUCGAAUAAUUUCCUUGGUGCCUCUAAAAAAAGAAGAAUAAUUUCCUUGGUUGAUUUGUUAAUUUAGGAGCCGGUGACAGAAAGAGCUUUGCAUUAGCGGAAUGUACAUAACGCUUUUGUAUGUGCUGCUACUAGAUACAUUCCCAAUUACUUGUUGACACCUGUUAGUAUUGAAAGCAACUUAACAAUGUAGUAGUGGUUGCUAUGGCAGAUUAUAUAUUGUACUUAUAUCAUGAUUUGCAUUGGAAGGGUAGAAAAAACAUAAGAUUAUAUAUUGUACUUAUAUCAUGUUGUACUGCUCAGACAUACAACCUACACGACUAGAAGUAAGCAGUUUUCUCUCCGAGUAAUAGCAGAGUGAUGCCUCAUUUAGAGACAACCACAUGUUUGUUAGUAAUUAGUUACGCUCUGAUCGUUACAUUCUUCUCUGGCUGCUUUCAUCAAGGACAGGUUCGGCCAGCUUGACAUACUGGUACCGGGUGGCUCAAAUUUUCAAAUGAAAUUUUGAAUAUGCAAUUAACUUAUCGUACAUAAGCCAAUUCCAAUGAAAAUCAUGAUUUGAUGUGUGAGAUCAACCUGAAGUGAAGUGAUGUGUAAACAAGGAGCGCUAUCCAACGACUGCAGGAUGUAUCACACACUGCACACUGGACUAAAAUUUCUUUUCUUUUUUUUGUGGGGACACUGGACUAAAAUUUCAACGCCACACCAAGUGAAGAUUGCUUGUGGAAAGCUAGUAAGCUAAAGGUAGUAACUGAAUCCCAUCCUAAUGCCAGAACAGGCGCCUGUCACGCUGUAAUUUCACGGAUUCAGCGAGAACUAAACCUUCAACCAACAAAGCCAUGAUAGGAAAACCAACCUUAUCUUCAGAUUCACGCAACAAAUAUUUCUACUUACGACAGAGUUUACAGGAUCCGAUUUUGUGCGGUCCUCGUUUCCAACAGUCAAUGCGCCAUGUUCCGGUGUACACUUGCAGCACUUGGCAUGGGAAAUAGCAUGAGCACAGGUGCCUGGAAUGCUGUCAUGCCAUCCUAUAGCAGCUACACAAAAGUUAGGGCAGAGGCCUGACAAAUAUUUCUACUUACAAAGACUCUGGAGAAUAUGGUUCGUGGUCCUCAUUUCGGACAGUCAGUGCACCAUGUUUAGUGUACAACACUUGAAAGGAGAAAUAAAUAUCUGCUAUAUGUAACAUAUCCAUUGUGGUGAUUAUUAUAAAAAACAUUGUCUUGCUCAGCUUCCCAUAAAGAGCAGGCCUCUAAACCAAUGUUAAGCAACCAAAAACUUCAACGCUCUAGUCAGGUUUCAGGAGGAGAAUGAUGAACUAUAUUAGAAAGCAAGAAUUCAAAGCACACUGGGAAGCAUAAGUAAAAGAAAAUGGAUGGUGAACUUGUACCCAUGUUACCCCAGUCUUGCAACAAAGAUGGUAGUCUCAGACUAUCAGCGAGUGCUUCCCCACAAAAGGUCAUAUUCCCCUGAGCAAAAAAAUAAAAUGAAAGAACCGUCUUCCAGGCCAGUUUAGCUGCACAAUUUUUUGGACACCACCAAUGGAACAUGGAAGUCCAUGUGGGUUACAUAAAACAAACUAAUAUUUCUUUACCCUACAAGUAUAUGGUGCAAUAUAGAAGAGACAAUCCACAGAUAAUCUUCUCAAAUCUUACAACAUGCAUAGAAACAGAGCCAGCACCGAUGGAUAACAAGCUAUAGAUUGCAGAUAUUCACUUGCAUAAACAAGUGAAAAUAAGGAGGUGAAAAUGCGAACAAUGUCAAACAUAGAUAAUGUACUCUCACUGAGUGUCUUAUAUUAUCAUCCCACAUCAACAGUUAACGAGCGGCCACAAUAAUUUAGUACUACAUGACAGCAAAUAGAUUAAAGGACUAGGUUCAUUCAUACAACUACUUAUUACUCUUACAAAAUCUUGGCUAACAAAGAUUGUUCAAAGCAACAAAGGCAUGAACCUGAACACCAACAGAUAGGAUAGGAACACCACACUGUAGAUAUAGGAGUUCGGACAUCUCUACGCAAUGCCACGAAAUUAGGAGAGUAGAUCCAUAGCAACCACUAAUUUUCGCAAAAGGUGUUGUCUCAUAUGCUGAACAUGUGAUGCUGCAGUGAAUCUCAAUGAUCAGCUGAGGGCAAUUCCGCAAAACAGGGAGUAUAAGGCAGACCCUUCAUUCCUUCAGUGCAGAUAACAGUCAC